GUGCUCGCUGUGGCAGCACAUACACUAAAAUUGGAACGAUACAGAGAUUAGCAUAGCCCCUGUGCAAGGAAGUGGCUCUUCUUCCCACAGCAACCAUCUGGAGUG